UACGUAGGGGGCAAGCGUUGUCCGGAUUUAUUGGGCGUAAAGCGCGUGUAGGCGGCCAGAUAGGUCUGCUGUGAAAACUCGAGGCUCAACCUCGAGACGCCGAUGGAAACCAUGUGGCUAGAGUCCGGAAGAGGAGAGUGGAAUUCCUGGUGUAGCGGUGAAAUGCGCAGAUAUCAGGAAGAACACCCGUGGCUAAGGCGGCUCUCUAGUACGGUACUGACGCUGAGACGCGAAAGCGUGGGGAGCGAACAGG
rnacentral:rRNA from 1 species